CAUUAGGUAUAUCUGCCAAUGCCAUCCUUCCCCCCUCCCCCCCACCCCACAACAGGCCCCGGUGUGUGAUGUUCCCCUUCCUGUGUCCCAGUGUUCUCAUUGUUCAAUUCCCACCUAUGAGUGAGAACAUGUCAUGUUUGGUUUUUUGUCCUUGUGAUAGUUUGCUGAGAAUGAUGGUUUCCAGCUUCAUCCAUGUCCCUACAAAGGACAUGAACUCAUCAUUUUUUAUCAUGAGCGUGCAUAUGCACACACACACACACACACACACACACACACACACACACAUGCAUCUUUGGAGAGCCAUUUGAGAGUAAGUUGCAUAUAUUAUAGCUUUUCUCCUAAAUAUUACAGUGUUUACUUGCUAGAAAUAAUGGUGUUUUCUUACAUAACCGCAAGGUGGUUAUUAAUUUCAGUAGAUGCUGAUGUAAUACCUUGAUGUAAUCUGCUGUCCCUAUUCCAGUUUUGUCAUUUUUAUCCUGAAUGGUGGCUGCCAGCUAUUAAAAUGCUAGUUACCCCAAAAAUACAAAAACACCAAAUACAGGAGCCAAAGACAGCCAGAAAACAAGAGGAAUGAAGUCUACUGAGUUCUGAUGCUUGAGCUGCUUUUAUAAAACAAAAUGUGACUUUCAUGCUAAGGAUUGCCCUUAACUGGUAUUCAGUUUUUCUCUGGAUUCUUUAUCUGCCCUGUCCAGCUGACCUUCCUGUUGUAAAUGUGGAUAAUUAUUAUCUAAGUUUACUAAGUGUUUUGUGUAGUGUCACCGUAUCAGAUCUAGUACAGCACUAAGUGCUUAUCCUCCCAACAUUUAAAUAUAUUUUGGGUAUUAACCUUUUAUCAGAUAUAUGGUUUGCAAAUGUUUUCUCCCAUUCUGUAGGUUGCCCCUUAUCCAUUUAUCUGUUGCUGGACACUUACAUUAAUUCCAAGUCUUGGCUAUUGUGAGUAAUGCAGCAAUAAAGAAGAAAGUGCAGAUAAUUUUUCAACACAAUGAUUUCCAUUCUUUUGGAUAGAUACCUAGCAGUGGGAUUGCUGGAUCAUGUGGUAGUUCUAUCGUUAGUUUUUGAGGAACCUCCAUACUGUUCUUCAUAGUGGUUGCCCUAAUUUGCAUUCCCACCAACCGUGUACAAGGGUUGCCCUCAUAUGCUCUCCAGCAUUCAUUAUUGCCUGACUUUUGGGUAAAAGCCAUUUUAACUGGGGUGAGAUGAUAUUUCAUUGUGGUUUUGAUUUGCAUUUUUCUGGUUAUUAAUGAUGUUGAGCCUUUUUCGUAUACCUGU
rnacentral:lncRNA from 1 species